GUGCUGUGUCAGACUUGAGGGACAUGUCGGUUUCCUAACAAAAGGACCAAGAAACGUUUUCUACUAAAGAGUUUCUGAUACUCUCCUUUUAAAUCCAUAUGUACACUGUUAAAUGUUUGGGGAAAGCUUGCCUAUCUUUGCUAAUGACUUGGGUGUGUCUCUUAUCUCUCAGCUUCAUGCUCAUCAGAGCGUCUUCUUUGGUGUUAAGAGCAGAUUUUACUAAAAUAAUGAUUUGCCAGUUUUAUUUCUCAAACUCACAUAUUUGUACAUAUGAAAGCACAUAUUGAAACUCUUUUGUCAGGUUUGAAAGCCUGAAAUGUUUUUGAGUGCUGCAAGUUCAGACAUCGCAACAAAUAUCUGAUCAGCUUUCUAUCUGUGCUCUUAUAACAAACGAACAAAGUAAACAUGUUUAUUUAUUGAGGAUAUUUUGAAAAGCUUGGUGACCACUAACUGUUGAUGUACAGUGAUUAUACAAUGUACCCCAUCUCAACUACUGUGCAUUGAUCAUAUCAGGUGUUUGAAGUGAUUAAUCAGGCACAACUUCACUGUCCAACUAGGUGCUUCCUAAAAAAGGUGCUUCAUAGUAAAGCCAGCAACACUUGACACAGUAAUGGUCACAUCACAAAUAGUCAGAGUGAUCUAAGAGACACUGCCUUCAGCUUGAGGAAUGUGGAGACAUGCUUACUCCUGAUACAUUCACAAACAAGGAAGGAGACAGUCUACUGCUCCUCCAUUUACUGCCUCACUCCCUCUGGAGGAGCCUCAACGAAUGAAUGAAGGCCAGACACAGAGGGGACGGGGAGGAAGCUGUUGGAGCUCAGCAAGGAUCGCAAUCUCACUGUGGAAUUCAAUGGAGAGAAUCCGAUUGGCGGUGUCCACCACAACUGCAGGAAAGAGUGCAAUAAGUCUUUCCCUGACACGCCUCUGUGGCUGCGUGAAUCGCUGGAAGAAAGUGACUGACUUUCUGAAGCAUGCUCAUCCUUCUUCCACAAAUAGAAAAACUGUUCACUGUUUGCCCGAUGCCCUGAAUCUAUUGCCACCAGAGACUUUUUCCAUUGUGGAGUUGCCGUCAGCCAUCUGAUGGACAGCAACAUGGACAGCAACAUGGAGAGCAACAUAUGAAGUUCAGUUAUGUGUUCUGUGCUGAUCGGAAGAACAUGAACAGUACAUAGUACAUAAUACCAUAGCAUUUAAAAAGUUCCCUCUGAUAAAAUCGCUUAGCUGUUGUUGGAAUGUAUUAAUAUGUUGUUAGAUCAAAUCAGGGUGUUUUCAAACCCCUUUUCAGUGUGAGGUACAUUGUGUUCAUAGGGUGCACUUACUACAUUUGUUUGACAAGAAGGUAACAUGAUUAAUAAUGAUCAGUGACAAUAAUAAAUCACUCUUGCUGGCGUUUUUUCGUUUUUUUGACAUAAUUUGAAAAUACCUGUUACCCUUUAAAUUGUGUGUAAAUUUUAUGAUGGAUGGACUAAAAGAAACAGCCCAAAAUGCCAUGAAAAGAAGUCUGGUUCCAUUGACUUACAUUAAAAGUAAAGUAGUUUUUGUUUCUUCUCCUGUACAGUCACCAUUUUGGAGGUUUUCUUCCAACAACAGUGAGAUUAAACUCACAUUCAGAGCAUGGUUCUUUUUAUCUUGGGCUUUGUACAGCCACGUCCAACGUUUCCUCCGUG
ensembl:lncRNA